rnacentral:rRNA from 1 species
GCGGUGUGCCUAAUACAUGCAAGUCGAACGAGUUCUGAUUAUUGAAAGGUGCUUGCAUCUUGAUUUUAAUUUUGAACGAGUGGCGGACGGGUGAGUAACACGUGGGUAACCUGCCCUUAAGUGGGGGAUAACAUUUGGAAACAGAUGCUAAUACCGCAUAAAUCCAAGAACCGCAUGGUUCUUGGCUGAAAGAUGGCGUAAGCUAUCGCUUUUGGAUGGACCCGCGGCGUAUUAGCUAGUUGGUGAGGUAACGGCUCACCAAGGCAAUGAUACGUAGCCGAACUGAGAGGUUGAUCGGCCACAUUGGGACUGAGACACGGCCCAAACUCCUACGGGAGGCAGCAGUAGGGAAUCUUCCACAAUGGACGCAAGUCUGAUGGAGCAACGCCGCGUGAGUGAAGAAGGCUUUCGGGUCGUAAAACUCUGUUGUUGGAGAAGAAUGGUCGGCAGAGUAACUGUUGUCGGCGUGACGGUAUCCAACCAGAAAGCCACGGCUAACUACGUGCCAGCAGCCGCGGUAAUACGUAGGUGGCAAGCGUUAUCCGGAUUUAUUGGGCGUAAAGCGAGCGCAGGCGGUUUUUUAAGUCUGAUGUGAAAGCCCUCGGCUUAACCGAGGAAGUGCAUCGGAAACUGGGAAACUUGAGUGCAGAAGAGGACAGUGGAACUCCAUGUGUAGCGGUGAAAUGCGUAGAUAUAUGGAAGAACACCAGUGGCGAAGGCGGCUGUCUGGUCUGUAACUGACGCUGAGGCUCGAAAGCAUGGGUAGCGAACAGGAUUAGAUACCCUGGUAGUCCAUGCCGUAAACGAUGAAUGCUAGGUGUUGGAGGGUUUCCGCCCUUCAGUGCCGCAGCUAACGCAUUAAGCAUUCCGCCUGGGGAGUACGACCGCAAGGUUGAAACUCAAAGGAAUUGACGGGGGCCCGCACAAGCGGUGGAGCAUGUGGUUUAAUUCGAAGCAACGCGAAGAACCUUACCAGGUCUUGACAUCUUUUGAUCACCUGAGAGAUCAGGUUCCCCCUUCGGGGGCAAAAUGACAGGUGGUGCAUGGUUGUCGUCAGCUCGUGUCGUGAGAUGUUGGGUUAAGUCCCGCAACGAGCGCAACCCUUAUGACUAGUUGCCAGCAUUUAGUUGGGCACUCUAAUAAGACUGCCGGUGACAAACCGGAGGAAGGUGGGGAUGACGUCAAAUCAUCAUGCCCCUUAUGACCUGGGCUACACACGUGCUACAAUGGAUGGUACAACGAGUUGCGAGACCGCGAGGUCAAGCUAAUCUCUUAAAGCCAUUCUCAGUUCGGACUGUAGGCUGCAACUCGCCUACACGAAGUCGGAAUCGCUAGUAAUCGCGGAUCAGCACGCCGCGGUGAAUACGUUCCCGGGCCUUGUACACACCGCCCGUCACACCAUGAGAGUUUGUAACACCCGAAGCCGGUGGCGUAACCCUUUUAGGGAGCGAGCCGUCUAAGGUGGGACAAAUGAUUAGGGUGAAGA